GGUGGCGGUCCUUGGAGC
rnacentral:snRNA from 1 species